AAAAAUGUUUUUAUAUUGAAAAGAGUGGCAAUAAAGGUCGAAGUAAAAAUGAAGGACAUUUAUAUAGCAUGCUUACUGAGUGUGAGUCCUUCAAGUUUUUUAUGAUGAGAAGGAUGUUUGACAGUGUCUGAUCACCUGGAUAUAUCCUCAGGAAAUCUGGCUACAGGGGAUCCUUCCUGGAAGAGACCAGACUGCUCAGGAUGAUUUCCCAGGAAUCUGGCACUUUUGGCAUUGCUCUGCUGGAGGCUGCAUGACUGACUGCUCUCCACAGGGACAAAACACAAAAAGCACAAAACCAAACAAUCCAACAACGACCACAAAGAUUGGAAUGCUAUCGCCUACCUCAGGGGCUCAUGCAAGGAUUCCGUGAGAGAAUGCAAGAUGGCGUUCAUCAAAUGAAUGGUAGCGUCACCAUGUGACCCUCAGGGCAGUCAAAGAAAACGGUGGAAGCACGGUUGUCAUUCGAGGAGCGCAAGACCAUUUUGAAGUGGUAUUUGAAAUUUGAGCAACGUUGUGAAAGUACGACGACAAUGGAGGCGUGAGUAUGCAAUAGAGCCUCCAACCCGCCUAACAACUGCACGCGUUCGUGACAAGUUUGAGACACAUGGUGCUCUACGAGAU